UGGGGAAUAUUGCACAAUGGGCGCAAGCCUGAUGCAGCCAUGCCGCGUGUGUGAAGAAGGACUUCGGGUUGUAAAGCACUUUCAGCGGGGAGGAAGGCGAUAAGGUUAAUAACCUUGUCGAUUGACGUUACCCGCAGAAGAAGCACCGGCUAACUCCGUGCCAGCAGCCGCGGUAAUACGGAGGGUGCAAGCGUUAAUCGGAAUUACUGGGCGUAAAACGCACGCAGGCGGUCUGUCGAGUCGGAUGUGAAAUCCCCGGGCUCAACCUGGUAACUGCGUUCGAAAGUGGCAGGCUAGAGUCUUGUAGAGGGGGGUAGAAGUCCAGGUGUAGCGGUGAAAUGCGUAGAGAGCUGGAGGAAUACCGGUGGCGAAGACGGCCCCCUGGACAAAGACUGACGCUCAGGUGCGAAAGCGUGGGGAGCAAACAGG
rnacentral:rRNA from 1 species